AGUGAACGCUGGCGGUAGGCCUAACACAUGCAAGUCGAACGGCAGCACAGUAAGAGCUUGCUCUUACGGGUGGCGAGUGGCGGACGGGUGAGGAAUACAUCGGAAUCUACUUUUUCGUGGGGGAUAACGUAGGGAAACUUACGCUAAUACCGCAUACGACCUACGGGUGAAAGCAGGGGAUCUUCGGACCUUGCGCGAUUGAAUGAGCCGAUGUCGGAUUAGCUUGUUGGCGGGGUAAAGGCCCACCAAGGCGACGAUCCGUAGCUGGUCUGAGAGGAUGAUCAGCCACACUGGAACUGAGACACGGUCCAGACUCCUACGGGAGGCAGCAGUGGGGAAUAUUGGACAAAGGGCGCAAGCCUGAUCCAGCCAUACCGCGUGGGUGAAGAAGGCCUUCGGGUUGUAAAGCCCUUUUGUUGGGAAAGAAAAGCAGCAGGUUAAUACCCCGCUGUUCUGACGGUACCCAAAGAAUAAGCACCGGCUAACUUCGUG
rnacentral:rRNA from 1 species